AAGAACGCAAUGAGAAAGAAGAGUAAUUUGUUUGCCCUUUAAGCGAGCUUCGUUUGGUGAGAGGAAGUAAGACAGUAAGCAGAUGAAAAUCACUUUCGAGUGUUGUACCGAAAUCUUAGUGAGAGUAAGGUGCAUUGGGAACACCCAUUACAGUGUUAGCGUAUCGCCUAGACGUAGGCUGUACGUGAAAGGUAGCUGCAGCGAUGUAGCUAUAAAUGCAGGGUGGUACCACGCGAUAGGCGUCCUUGAA
rnacentral:ncRNA from 1 species